AGAAGACCUCCCGUAGAUCUAAGGCUGAAGCAAACGCAGGUUGUAAAAAAGCGGGAUGACGUUGUCGUCACCCCGC
rnacentral:sRNA from 1 species